GCACAAGCAGUGGAGUAUGUGGUUUAAUUCGACGCAACGCGAAGAACCUUACCAAGUCUUGACAUCCUGCAACGGAUAUAGAAAUAUGUCUUUCCUUCGGGACGCAGAGACAGGUGGUGCAUGGUUGUCGUCAGCUCGUGUCGUGAGAUGUUGGGUUAAGUCCCGCAACGAGCGCAACCCUUAUGGUCAGUUACUACGCAAGAGGACUCUGGCCAGACUGCCGUUGACAAAACGGAGGAA
rnacentral:rRNA from 1 species